UCUUCGUCCAAUAACAGAGCCUUCACAA
rnacentral:piRNA from 1 species